CAAAUUUCUGUAGUUUUCACAGCAUUAUUACUGUAAAAUGAGCAAAUGCUUACUGUAGAACUUGUAUACAGCAUGUUGCUGUAGAUCUGCAAAGCAUCAUGGUCUUUUUUCAACGGCGGGUAAAUUCUACAGUAAAAAUAUUUUUCCUGUGAAUCACAAUACAGCAAUUUCUAAAGGAUUUUUUUCUUCAGCCAAGGAAAGCUACGAGAUUCCACACUUUCAUCUGAAUUUUUACUUCAGAAAGGGUUGAUGACGUAUGCGAGUACGACCUCCGCAGGCUGAAACCAGUCUCUCGAGCUGAAAGAAAACGCAGCUGAGGAGAUAUGAGGAAACUUCCACCUACAGUAAGCAGAUGCUGAGGCCCAGAUUUCCAUGCUAAGCACUCCAAGGCUCAUCAUGCUCGGAGAGUCCAAUCUGAGGGCAAAAAAUGGAUGCUUUCCAUUGAGUGCUGAGUUCUCCUCCAAUUGAGUGACGGUUGUGAUUUCACUUCUGCUCUAGCCUUUUUGCGUCAUACUAUGUAUGAGGCAGCCACUACAUUGGGAUUUAUCCAGAGGGUAGAGUCCAGCCCAGGAAGUCAACUAGUUCAUGUCCAGAUUUAAAAGAAUAAUAUUUCUGAAAAAAAGGUCUUGGAGAAAAACAAUAUUCAGGUUUGAAAUCCUGCUGUAAAUGUAAAUCAUUUAACUUUUAUGCAUUUGUAAUUUACCAGAAACUUUUUAAUAAAUAUUGAUUGUUUUGUGUGUUCAGAAAAAAAGUGUUUUUGUAUGUUCAGAAAAGUGUUGAAAUUAAAUGAAACAUUCACAGAAAAAUGUUAACAUAUUUAAAAAAAACUGAUAUGUUCAGAAAAGUUUUGAGAUGUUCACAGAAAAAAUGUAACACAAAAAAUGUAUGCUAUGCUAUUUUUAAUUUAUGAAUUUUUGUAAUUUAAAGUGAUAAAAUAAAUGGCAUUUUUGUGACAAACAGUGUCUUCAUUUUACAGUACACAAAAUAAAUGCAGUAAUCCCUAUUACAGUAGUAGUUAUGAAAUACAGUACUGUGAUUAUUACUUUAAAAGAGUUUACAGUAAUUUUAAUUUUACUGCAAUUACAUUUACAGUAAGAAUACUGUGAAAUGAAAUACAGCAACUUACUAGCUAAUUGCUGCCAGCAAGUUACUGUAUUUUUCACAGGAUUCUUUUUA